rnacentral:rRNA from 1 species
AGAGUUUGAUCCUGGCUCAGAUUGAACGCUGGCGGCAUGCCUUACACAUGCAAGUCGAACGGCAGCACGAGAGCUUGCUCUUGGUGGCGAGUGGCGAACGGGUGAGUAAUAUAUCGGAACGUACCCUAGAGUGGGGGAUAGCGCAGCGAAAGUUGCGCUAAUACCGCAUACGAUCUACGGAUGAAAGUGGGGGAUCGCAAGACCUCAUGCUCAUGGAGCGGCCGAUAUCUGAUUAGCUAGUUGGUAGGGUAAAAGCCUACCAAGGCUUCGAUCAGUAGCUGGUCUGAGAGGACGACCAGCCACACUGGAACUGAGACACGGUCCAGACUCCUACGGGAGGCAGCAGUGGGGAAUUUUGGACAAUGGGCGCAAGCCUGAUCCAGCAAUGCCGCGUGAGUGAAGAAGGCCUUCGGGUUGUAAAGCUCUUUUGUCAGGGAAGAAACGGUGGACUCUAAUACAGAUCACUAAUGACGGUACCUGAAGAAUAAGCACCGGCUAACUACGUGCCAGCAGCCGCGGUAAUACGUAGGGUGCAAGCGUUAAUCGGAAUUACUGGGCGUAAAGCGUGCGCAGGCGGUUGUGCAAGACAGAUGUGAAAUCCCCGGGCUCAACCUGGGAAUUGCAUUUGUGACUGCACGGCUAGAGUGUGUCAGAGGGGGGUAGAAUUCCACGUGUAGCAGUGAAAUGCGUAGAGAUGUGGAGGAAUACCGAUGGCGAAGGCAGCCCCCUGGGAUAACACUGACGCUCAUGCACGAAAGCGUGGGGAGCAAACAGGAUUAGAUACCCUGGUAGUCCACGCCCUAAACGAUGUCUACUAGUUGUUGGGUCUUAAUUGACUUAGUAACGCAGCUAAUGCGUGAAGUAGACCGCCUGGGGAGUACGGUCGCAAGAUUAAAACUCAAAGGAAUUGACGGGGACCCGCACAAGCGGUGGAUGAUGUGGAUUAAUUCGAUGCAACGCGAAAAACCUUACCUACCCUUGACAUGUACGGAAUCCCUGAGAGAUUAGGGAGUGCUCGAAAGAGAACCGUAACACAGGUGCUGCAUGGCUGUCGUCAGCUCGUGUCGUGAGAUGUUGGGUUAAGUCCCGCAACGAGCGCAACCCUUGUCAUUAGUUGCUACGAAAGGGCACUCUAAUGAGACUGCCGGUGACAAACCGGAGGAAGGUGGGGAUGACGUCAAGUCCUCAUGGCCCUUAUGGGUAGGGCUUCACACGUCAUACAAUGGUACAUACAGAGGGCCGCCAACCCGCGAGGGGGAGCUAAUCCCAGAAAGUGUAUCGUAGUCCGGAUUGUAGUCUGCAACUCGACUACAUGAAGUUGGAAUCGCUAGUAAUCGCGGAUCAGCAUGUCGCGGUGAAUACGUUCCCGGGUCUUGUACACAACGCCCGUCACACCAUGGGAGCGGGUUUCGCCAGAAGUAGGUAGCCUAACCGUAAGGAGGGCGCUUACCACGGUGGGAUUCGUGACUGGGGUGAAGUCGUAACAAGGUA